UAUACGCGUUAAUUUUAUGAGUGUCUUUUAAGUUUGAUUUUUAAUCGCGAUGGUUAUAAAAAUUAAAGGGUUCUGAAGAAACGGAAUGGUUUAAACGAGGAACAGGUAUACGAUUAAGUUCAAGUGUGACAUGUCAGUUAAUAAUGGCUGGCUGACCUUGGAUGACCCUGGGAUGGGUAUUCUUCGGUAAUAGAAGUUUGGGAAGCUCGGGAAAUUUAGUUCUCGGGUCCUUCGAGAACAGAAUGGAAAAUAGGGUACAUAUCGAACUAAGAUAAACGCACUUUCGGGUGUCAACAGGUGUCAAUUUCCUUCGAGAAAGUCGUAAUUUGAUGUUGAAGUUUGGAAUUGAAAAAUUGGAAUUUAAAUAUAAAAAAUGAUACCGAAAUGGAUGAAAUUGCGGCCUAUGGGUUAAAUCGAUACAAUCUAUCGAUCUCGCAUGUUUCUAGAAUCUAAAUUCGUCUGAAAAGUCGCCUAAAUCAAUAGGUUCACUGGUUUUCAUGUUAUAAUCAAAAUACUAUACAUGUAAAAUGCUAUU